UACAGAGGUCCCGAGCGUUGUUCGGAUUCACUGGGCGUAAAGGGCGCGCAGGUGGGCUGGUAAGUUCGAUGUGAAAGCCCCGGGCUUAACCCGGGAAUGGCAUUGGAUACUACUGGUCUGGAGGAUUGGAGGGGGGACUGGAAUUCUUGGUGUAGCAGUGAAAUGCGUAGAUAUCAAGAGGAACACCAGUGGCGAAGGCGAGUCCCUGGACAAUACCUGACACUGAGGCACGAAAGCCAAGGGAGCAAACAGG
rnacentral:rRNA from 1 species